AAAAUACUGGGGAGAUGUUUGAAUAAAGGCAUGCUAAGUACUUUUGCACCCAGCUUCCAGCUUCAUCAGCACCUUGGCAAUCUCUCUACCAUUGGAGAUAGGAACAUGCUGGAUGGAUCCUUGUCGAAUUAAAACAAACAAACUUGGUCUUCAACAGGGCAGAAGAUCAGGGAUGGACUACACGCUUCUACUUUUAAGUCACACUUGAACUGGUCCUCUUGAUCUUGGCCUUUCAUGAAAAGUUAUGUUUAGCAACUGUCACAAUCACCAAAGAAAUGUGAACUGUGAUUAAGGAGAUGAAACAUCAAGGCAGGGCUAGGGGUGGCCUUUGUGGACAGAAAGCAGAAGGUUAGGGCAUAAUAAUAAUGCAGUCUAAUAGGAAUGCAUGGCCUUCGUGAUGAUGGGUUGGGUAGGUGGAUGUUAAAUUUAGGCAAAGAAAAGCUGCCUCUUCAGGAAUGUGGUUAAUAAAGAAGCCAUUUCUGUGUCA